AUUAGAAAUUAACGAAGAAACAUUUUCAAAAAACUUUAUUCCUCCUCUUCUUCCUCGCCGAGUGUUUCAUCCUCAACAACUCCAUCAUCUUCCCAAGGGUUAGCCACCGGAUUUCAACUAGGAACCGGAGUUCGUGUCAGCGAACCAGGUGAUGUGGAACACACACAUUUGGUGAAAGGAUUGGACUAUGCCUUACUUCACAAAAUAAGAAGUCAGAUUGAUAAGAAACCCGAAUUUCGUGAAGAAACUGAUUGAAAGUCUAGCAUAAAAUGAAAACCCUCGAGGCCUGACUUAUUCUCUCCUCAAUUUCUCAAAUACAAAUUAUCAAAAGAACCAAAAAUCCCUUGAGCUUAAAGAGAACAAAACCCUCGAAGCCAGCAACCACCGCUUGCAACUUCUUCUUCUUCUCCUUCUCCAGCAGCAAGAGCGACAACAACCAGUAGCCAGCAGCCAUCGCCUGCGACAUCUUCUCCUCCAGCAGCAAGAGCGACAAUAGCCUGUGACAUCUUCUCCUUUGGCAGCAAGAGCGACAAUAGCCAGCAGCCGCCGCCUGCGACGUCUUAUCCUCCGGCAACAAGAAUGACAACAACCAGUUGCUCACUCACUUCCAAUCAUUGCUUUCAAGCUUCAGUCACAGGUAUAUGGGCAACAUUCCAUACGCAAGUUACUGAACCACUUCUUCUAUGGGCGUUCUCAAGUAUUUGCUCCCUUUGAAGGGUGCAAGCUAUUGGAAAGAUGAGUUUUUUCGUGCAACAAAUAUUCGCUUGUUAGUGUUGUCUACCUAUUAAAAUAGUCACCAGAUGACCAUACCAUCUACUAAAUGGUAUGGGAAUUUUCAUCUGACAUGCCUAUGUUAGAAACAUGGUAAAAAUGGAGCAUGCCAAUUGAAUUUGAUAUGGGUCUUUUGCUUUCUGCAUUGUUCCUCUUCAAUGCAGUCAUCUCAUGAUUUUAGAUUAUUUCAACUUGAGAUCAGGUGCAUUUGCUAUAUCAAUUCUAUGUGUAUGGCAUCUGUAAGUGGAAUCCUUUUGGAUUUUCAAUUCCUUAUGAUUUCUUCCUACAUUCCUGAACUUGCUCUGCGACUUACAGCUUUGGACAACCCCUUUUUUUUUAAUGGCCUUAAUUUCAUUUGACUUUUCUAUGAUGCUCAUGCUUUAAGAAAAUGAUAUCAAGACUGCUUUACUAAUUAUUAUAUGAUUUGUUAAAUUUUUCCUUAAUUUUUCUUUGUUCUUUAAUUUUUAAAUGCAUUUCAAGUUUUAGGUGGAGAUUUUAGCUUAUUUUUUUUACAGGUGGAAUUUGAUAUUAUAAAAUUUCAUCCCCUUCCCACACUCUUGUCACCAAUUUGGUUUAACCCCCCCCCCUUUUCCUAUGAUUUCAUUAUUGGAAUUUUGUUUUGUCAGUUCACAAUUGUAAAUUUGUAAUGAUAAAUCUUGAGCUUAGAGUGAAUUCUACAAAAUCCAUGAUUGGUUGUGAACAAUUGGUAAUGUAUGGAAAAAUGUCUAUCAAAUGAUAUGGUAGUGACUAUUGGUCCUAUGCUUGUGGAGAACUAGUUCUCUAAUUUAUAUUGCUGUGUUCUGCAGGUUUCUUUCUGUAUGUUACUUCAGUGCCUAGCUUCUAGAUAUUAACUUGAGUAGUUUGAAUUGACAAAUGAAAAUUAGGGCAAACUAGAAUGGUGCUAAAAAAGCAGCUAGGGUUCCAACAAUAGUUGGUUAAGGAGGAUUGAACUCUUACUAAUCAUCAAAAUUGAAUGUCAUAUAGUUCUUGUAGACCUUGUGACACUUCCGUUUUGCAAUUUUCUUUUGAGAAUUUCACUCCAGGUGCUGUGAAACACCUUAAUCAACAUUAGUCACCAAUAAUCCCAUAGUUGUCCUUGUCACUUACCUUUCUUUAGACUUCUUGGAUUUGUUAAUCGUUGGAAUUGGCAGUUAUCUCUAGUGACUUCAUGCUGUAAAGGAGACAUGUUAAGGGGAAAAAAGGUGAAUUUGAGACUAUCUUGGCUGGUUUGAUUGUGCAUGUUCAUUUUCAACAACAAUGAUGAGUUUUGGGUAUUAUACCAUUGUAUAUUUGGUCAGAAAGAUGCCUUGAGUGAUAAAGGUGCUUCUUUAUAUAUAUAUAUAUAUAUAUAUAUAUAUUAACUUAAAAGAGGUCUAAUCCCAAAAGCAAGGAAUGAUUUUUCUACAGAUGGCUUUAAAUGGCCACUGGGAUGAUUAACCUGGUGUGCUCUCUCAUCAUUUGAUGCAAGCAUUUGAAUCAUUAGUGGUCGUAUGAAACUAUGAAGUAAUUUUCAACAUUUCAUUGACUAAAAAUCUGAAACAGAGGGAUCUUGCUUAUGUUGGAAAAGUAAGAUAAUUCAUGUAAUUUCAAGUACUAUUUGCUUAGCUCAGUUCUUCAUUCCUAUACUUGGUUGAGUUGAGAAGUUGGAUCUUGUACAUGCCUUCUAUUGUGUUUGCUGUGUUUUUUGGAUACUGUUGGUGCAUAUGAAUGCUAAAAAAAUUAAUCUUCAUCAGAACUCUUUAGAAGGACAUGGAGGUGAACUACACCAGGGUUAUGACAUAUAAGUGAAUUACACCAGGGUUAUGUAUGAAAAACUACUAUAGUAUCAAAUGCAUGGAUAAUGGUUUAGAAUUUGUGACCAAAAUUUUCUCUCUAUUUGCAGCUUUCGGCGACACAUUCAGUUUCGCUCUUCCAUCAGAUCUAGUAUUGGUGGUGGUGCUUGUGGUUCCAUUGUCUACGACUAUUUCUUGCUUUGUAAAAUGAGGAAAAGCCUUCCAAAUUUUUCUCUCUCUAGUAUAUAUAUCCAUUGUCUACCACUAUUUCUUGCAUGAUUGUCUUUUUCUUUUUUUCUUUUUUUGAGUUUUUAGCUGAGACAUUUGAGUAAACAGUUGCUAAUAGUAUCACCUUACUAAGGAUAAUAAAUCCUAAUUUUUCAUA